rnacentral:lncRNA from 1 species
AUAGGUACUUUAGUUGUACAUGUAAAGUCUUACUGUGGUUUUAUGUUUUUAUAGUCAAAAUAGAAUGCAUAACCUCAUUUAUAUUUGUAUGUCAUCAAAUGCCCUUUGGGGUAUAAGAAUUGGUCCUUGAGUAGCAGUAUCCAAUCACAAAUGUUUAUUUUUCAAGAUGAACUUUAGAUACUUUAGAUAUCAUUUUGUCCAUAUCUAAAAUUUGCCUUAAACUUUAUUUUGAAAAUUGCAAACCUACAGAAAUGUGAAAGAAUAACAUGAUGAAUGAACAUUUCAUUUAGAUUCAUCAUUCAUAUAGAUUCACUAUUCCUAAACAUUUUGUCACUGAUGCUUUUGCUUUCUCCAAAUGUUUUUCCUUCCCCUGCCUCAGUCAUUUGAGAUAAAUUGUAGGAUUUUGUCAUCCCAUUUUAUAACAUCCUUACAUGUGUCAGUGUGCCUCUCUUACAAGAGUGAGGAUAUUCUCCCAUUUAACCAUAAUACCAUACUAAAUAAUACCAUGACCUAAAAAAAAACUCAAUAUUAUUUCAUAUUCAAAUUUCUGUAUGUAUCCCCAAAAUAGAUUUUGUAGCUACUUUGAAAAGGUUCACAAAUUAUAUUGAUCAAUGUGUCUAUCUAGUCGCUCUUCAAUAAUAGUUCCUUUUUUUUUUUCCUUUUACAGUACUGGGAAUUAAAUCCAUGGCCUCACACAUGCUAGGCAGGCAAGUAUUCUACCACUAAGCUACAUCUCCAACCCUUUUAAAUUUAUUUGGAGAUAGAGUCCCACUAAGUUGCCCAGGUAGGCCUCAAAACUUAGUCUUUCUGCUGCAAACUCCAAAGUAGCCGAGAUUACAAGUGGGUACCACUGUACCAGCUUCCUCUAUCUCUUAAAAAUAUUUUCUAAAUAAGUUUUAUUAGAACUCAUUUAGACUUACAAAAAACUAGAAAGGGUUCCUAUAUGUCCUACACUUAGUUUCCCCAGUCACUAGCAUAUUAGCAUAAGACAUUUUGAUAAAAUCCUUGGGCCAAUCUUAAUAUGUGUUAGUUAAAAUCCAUACUUUAUUCAGAUAUUCUUGGGUUUUUCCCUAACGUCCUUUUUGUAUCCAGGAUACUUCCAGAGUACCACAUUACAUUAGUCAUAUUAUUCUUAGAUUUCUGUCGUUUUUGAUUAUCUUGACAGUUUUGAGGAAUACUGGUCAAAUAUUUGUAGAAUGUUCCUCUACGUGAAUUUGUCUGAUGUUUUUUUCCCAUUAUUAGACCAGAAUUGUAUUUUUUGGAAGAACACCAAGGUAAACGGCCAUUCUCAUCAUAUCAAGGGUACAUAUUAUCACAGUUCGCAUUAACCUCAGUCAGUUCAGCCAGUUUUCUUCACUGUAAAGUUACUCUUCUUUCCCCUUUUCCAUACUAUACUUUUUGAAAGGAAGAUAUCAUACAUAGUCUACACUUAGGGAGUGAGAAGUUAUGCUCUUACUCCUUGAGGAGAGAGUACCUAUAUAACUUAUUUGGAUUUAUUCUACAAAGAUAUGUUUCUUCUCCAUUUAGUAAUUUAACCAAUUCUUCACUUAUAUCAGUUUGGAUUUGUGGAUAUUUAUACUUUGGGUUAUCAUGUAAUACUACUUUACAUUGUUGCUGAAAUUGUUCCCAAUGCAAACAUUGAAUGCUCUUUUAGUGGGCUCUUCUGUCCUUUGACAUGCCCCCCCACCCCCUGCCACUGCCAUCAUUAUGGAUUUUGAAAUGGAGAGUAUUUCCUUACUUUCUGGCACUAUUUUCAGGCUCAUGUGGUACAUUUCCUUCUCCAGUCAUUUCUCUAGAGCCCUGAAUUAAAGAACAGUAUUAUAAACUAAGACCUGGCCACUGGAUUUCCUCAUUGCUACUAGCAUGUCAUUGCUUCUAGGUCUUUUUCACAGAGAAGGAAAUAUAUAUGUACAUAAUAACCUAUGAAUUUACACAUAAAUGUAAAGUUUUCUGUAUGUAACAUCUGUAGUUCUAUUUAUGAAACAUGAAUUCAUGCUGAUAUUCCAUCCAUUACCACAUAGAUCAUUCUAACCUCUUUCUCUUGCUUAUGUAUCAACUCCCCCUCAAAUGAGAAAACUGAUUCCAAACAUCUGCUAUCUACUUACUUGAAUUGUUUGAUUCCAGUAUACAUGAAAAGUGGUUUCAGAAUUGUGAACCUAUACCCCCACGGAAAACAACUUUAUCAAAGAAUACAUGAUUAUGUAGGUUGUGUUUGCCGUUGGUUUAUAGACUCAUUUCCAAAGUUAACUUAGGUUACUCAGGUUAAUGCCCCACUUUGAUAUGUUUAUUUCAUAAAUUUGUAAUAAAGUUAGAUUAUUUCAUCACAUUCCCAUUCUAUUCUGGAAUUUCCUUAACCUUGUAGGUGAUUUUUUAAAAUUUCUAUACAUUAGGGUUCACUUUUUGUGUUCUAAAGUUAAUCCAUAGUUACAUAUUCCCAAUGACAUUAUAAUAUAAAAUCACAGCCCUAAAAAUCCCUAGACUUAACCUAUUCGUCCCUCCCUCCCCUUCCUCUAGGAUGCUGUUAACCACUGAUCUUUUUAAUGUCUCUAAUAGUUUUGCCUUUUCUAGAAUGAAAUACAGUUGGAAUCACACAGUAUGUAGCAUUUUAACACCAGCUUCUUUCACUUCAGAGUAUGCAUUCAGUAUUCCUCUGUCUCUUCAUCUUGAUAAAUCAUUUAUUUUUCACUCUGAAUAACAGGAUGUUGUAUAGAUGUCCCUACAUUAUUUAUCCAUUUAUGAAUUAAAGGACAUUUUCGUUGCUUCCAGUUUGUACUUGUUAUGAAUAAAGCUGCAGUAAACGAGUUUUUGUGUAGACAUAAUUUUUCAAAUUAGUUGAGUAAAUACCAGUGAGCAUUUGCCAGUAAAUGCAUGGAAAUGGAGAAAAUCAUGCUAAGUGAAAUAAGCCAGACUCAAAAUCAAGGGUUGAAUGUUUUCUAUCAUUUGGAAGCUAAAGUAAAAUAAGGAAAAGAAGGGGCUGGGGUUGUGGCUCAGCCGUAGAGCACUCUCCUAGUAGGAGCAAGGGCCUAGGUUCAAUCCUCAGCACCACAUAAAAAUAAAUAAAGGGAUAAAAAAAGGAAAAGAUAAUUGGGGAGGGGAUCAAAUAUCAUAAAGAUGUGGGAAAGUUCAGUGAAAUACACAAAAGAAAAGAAAAAGGAAGGGAAAAGGGAAGAAAUAUGGAGUGAUUUUUAAAAAAUUUAUAUAUAUAUACCAAUGUAUCAAAGGGAAUUUCACCUUUAUGUAUAUAUUGAAAGUACCAAUAAAGAAAAAAAGGAUGGAGAAAAUAGGGAGGGAGGAAGGAGGAAAAAGUGGGACUGAAAUCAAAUUUCUUGUAUGUAUAAUUUUGUCAAAUGGAAUCAAAAUAAUAUGUAAAACCAAAAUAUUCAAUAAAUAAAUAAAUAACCAGUGCUCUUGGGCAGGCAGGUGAACCAAGGCCUGUGAG